UACGGGGGGGGCAAGCGUUGUUCGGAAUUACUGGGCGUAAAGGGCUCGUAGGUGGCCAACUAAGUCGGACGUGAAAUCCCCAGGCUCAACUUGGGAACUGCGUCCGAUACUGGAUGGCUUGAAUUCGGGAGAGGGAUGCAGAAUUCCAGGUGUAGCGGUGAAAUGCGCAGAUAUCAGGAGGAACACCGAUGGCGAAGGCAGGUCUCUGGGCCACUACUGACGCUGAGAAGCGAAAGCAUGGGGAGCGAACAGG
rnacentral:rRNA from 1 species